GGGAAUAUAAAAGGGAAAAAGAAGAUAAAAGGGAAUAUACAUGAGGAUCACCAAGAAAGGAAAAGGGAAAAAGAAGAUAAAAGGGAAUAUACAUGAGGAUCACCAGACAAAAGAAGGAAAAGGUGGAUCCGAAGGUGUAUAGGGAUCAGAUGGUCAUGCAGCAAUAAAAAGAAAAGGUGGAUCCGAGGGUGCACAGCAAUAAAAGGAAAAGGAAAAGAGAGAAGUGAGAGAAGAGAGAGAAAGAAGACAGAAGUAAUGGUUGGCUCUACUGCUCAUGCAGAUUAAGGGACCUAUCGCCAUGGAGGAGCUUGGACUUUCAUCUCGGUCAUGAGAAAAAAGAGAUAGAGAGAGAAAAAAAGAGAAAGAGAGGCAAGAAGAAAGAGGAGAGUAUGAGAGGAGGAGAGAAAAGAUUACCUCAAUGAACCCUAAGGGUACCGGCCAAAGAUUUUUUUCUCCUCUCUUUCUCACUCCAAAAAAGAAACGUGACUCAACUCUUGCUCUUAUAUGGAUAUUUUUACAGUGAUACAUUUAUCAUACAAAAAAUAGGUGCAUGGAUAUCAUGGUGUUUAUUAAAAAUGGUUUUGCAUAUUGUUGUAUAUCAAAGUGUUCUUAUGGGGCACCUUUGCUCAUGACCUUCCGGACAUCAUUCCCUUUAGGCGUUUAAGGUUGAGUAAAUCAAAAUAUUAUAAUACUUUUAUGUGGAAUAUGGAAAUUUGAUUAUGUUUACAA